UUUAUAGAGUGGCUAACUGGAGACUCGUGAAUAUUAUGCAUUCAUUUAUAACCAUCUUUAUAUUAUCCGUUCUAUCAGGCAUCUUCGGAAAUGUAGCACCUGACAGAACGACGACUCCUCCAUCGGAUCUGACUACUCCACAGGAUAAUGAAGGAUCUAAUGCAACUGCAGCAGCUCCCGGUAAGUGUGUCUC